UUGGAGCUCUGUGGGUGAGGAACUGAGUAUCACUUCUGCUAAAAUUCAUAGAUUUUAUUGGGAAUCAGGUGAUGGCAGGACAGAGAUUCCUGAAGAACCUCCCUUUGAAGGGAAAGGUGACCUCUUUUCAGCAACAUAUUAGUGGGUGUUGUGUGGACAGCUGCUGUGACUGCAAGACACUGAUUGAACCAAAGCUGAGCCUGUGAUACUGCCAGGAGCAAUGCUAAGAAAUACAAGAACAUACACUUGCCAGCUUCAACAGGUAAAUUAAGUAUGCACCAGAGAUGGUGUGUUUACUUAAUGUGAAAUAAUGCUCUAUUUCAUAUUCAUCCUUAAUGCCCUCUCUUAAACAAUUCUAAUGUAUUUUUUACACGUAACAUUCCUGUCUGGAAUACUUUUCAGCUUAUUUUCUUCAAUUCUUCUCUAAGGGAGCAAAGAUUUGCAUAACAUUAGGUCAAAAGCCCAUUGAGGAUAUAUUACAAGUAAAUUUUGUAAAACAGAUUCAUUCUCUGGCUGUGAAGAGGAAGCACUGGGCUCGGAGCACGGUGUUACAAAGGCACCAAAAGCCAGAAAAUACCCAGAGCUUCUGCUUGCUGCCAACAGUGCCCAGAAGAAAAUAGGAAGGCACUGAAUAGUUAAUGGAUCUAUCACUGUGGUACAUAAAGCAGACAUUGCUGGGGUAAUAUGAUGUCUCCCCAGAAGAAUGAUAAGGUGGUUACCAAAAAGUGAUUGUGAUUCAUAAGCUCAUAGAAGGGGCAGGGCUGGUGCUGACUGUAACAGCGUGGCAGAGUCACCUUUAAUGCAGUAGCUGUAAACCUACUAUUCAGUAGUGGAACAUGCCUUGUUAUGCUCAAUUCCCGCCUCUCAGCGUGGAUAAAAAAUUCUAUCUGGGAUAAUUUUUAACUUUUAAAUAGUGAGUAAUAUACAUUUUCUUGGAAUUCCACCUUUCAGCAAAAGAACAAUAACUUUAACUUUUUA
rnacentral:lncRNA from 1 species